rnacentral:miRNA from 1 species
UGGGUGUUGGGGGGGGGGGGGGGGUUGGAAUUUUCAAACCCCCCCCCCCCCCCCCCCCCCCCCCAAAAGAC